GUUCAGUGGAAAGGCUUGAGCCAAAUUGUGCAGAACUCGAUAUUGCAAAAAUAAUAAUAAUAAUAACAUAAAUGCCAUGAAUGGUGGGGGAUGAAAUUAAAACAAUGCUUAAAAGAAAUUCAUCUGCUAGGCAUAGAUAGGAUAUAUUGGAGGUAAGAAGGUCUAGGUUGGAGAAGGCCAGAGGUCUGAAACAAAGAAUAGCCAGGCCAGAUAGUAAGAGCCUGGACUAAAUCCAUAGACUUAAGAGAGGAGGAAAGAAUGCAGAGUUCUGUCGUAGUAGAAAAAAUAGACAGGAACCUGCAGACAGAGGAAAGGAAAGCAGAAGGAGGAGACAAAGACAAAAGUGAGUGCUGGUUUUCACAUGAGUGACUGCUAAUGCCCUUGGCAGAUGACAUGGGGAGUUUGAGAGAAGACAUUCAAAUGAGAAUGUCCCAUAUGCGUUUAGUGCUGUGGUUCAAGAGUUGGACAAGACGUCAGGACUACCACGAUUGGAGACUCAUCAGUAGAGAUUUGACAUUCACAGGAUGGAUAACAGCCCCCCCCCCCCCAAAUCAAAGGAGUCCUGGCUAAGUGAGCUGAAGAAAAGGUUAUCUAUCAAGAAGAAAGCAUGAUUCCUCAGCCUUGGCAGCACAUUAGCAUCAUCUGGAGAACUUUAAAAACUGAUUUUUUUUUCCUUCAUUUGAUUUCUUUUCUAAUUGAUUUAACUUUGUAAGGGUGGAAUU
rnacentral:lncRNA from 1 species